rnacentral:lncRNA from 1 species
AUGAAGAUCGAGCGCGAUUUCCACAUGAUGAAAGGGGACGAUGAGUUCAGUUAUGCUGAGAAUUCAAGGAUGCAAAAAAGAGCUGUUCUUGCUGCCAAACCAAUAGUUGAGAAAGCUGUACGGGAAGUGUGCAUAGAUCUUCAUCCUCAAUUAAUGGUCAUUGCUGACCUUGGUUGCUCCUUCGGAGCAAACACACUUCUCUUCGUCUCUGAGGCGAUCACCACAAUAUGUGAGGACCAUAACAACACUAUCAAGGAGAGCCCCAUGGAGAUCCAGUUCUUCCUCAAUGAUCUACCUGGCAAUGACUUCAACCACAUCUUCCAAUCACUAGAGCAGUUCGAGCAGUCGACAACACAUGAUUGCGCUUGCAAAGGGUUACAACCUCCCGCGCACUUUGUCGCAGGUCUGCCGGGUUCCUUCUACAGUAGACUCUUCCCUUCCAAUAGCGUCCAUCUCUUCCAUUCCUCAAUGAGCGUCAUGUGGCUCUCUCAGGUUCCUGAGCAUCUUGAUGGCAGCAUGAACGAGGGGAACAUUCACAUAGGAGCGACUACACCACCAUCGGUGGCAAAGCUCUACCAAAAUCAGUUUGAGAAGGACUUCUCACAGUUCCUCCAAAUGAGAUGCAUGGAGAUUGUGCCCGGAGGCCGGAUGGUCCUGACGGUUGCUGGGAGGAAGAACAAAGAUGUGUUCCAUGCAGGAGGGACAACCACCUUAUUCGAGUUGCUGUCACAGGGGCUACGCACUCUUGUUGCUGAGGGUCGUGUUGCCAAGGAGAAGCUGGACUCUUUCAACAUACCAUUCUACUGCCCUUCAGCUGACGAGCUGAAGCAGCUGGUGCAGCAGUGCGAGCUACUUGACAUAAGUGACAUCCAACUCUUAGAGAUAGAUGGGAACGCCAUGGAUGACUCAGAGCAAGCAGAGGGCAUUUCAGCCACUCACACUGCGGGAGAGAGCAUGUCUGCAAGCCUAAGGGCGGCAAUGGAGUCCCUGAUUGCGAGCCAUUUUGGGGAGGGCAUACUUGAGGAUCUCUUCACGGUGUUUGCACGUAAUUUCACAAGUUAUAUUGAGAGUGAUGUUGAGAAGAGCGGCGUCACGGUCAUCACACUGUACUUGCAGGCAAAACACUAGUUAGUUAAUG